AACGAACGCUGGCGGCAUGCCUAACACAUGCAAGUCGAACGAGACCUUCGGGUCUAGUGGCGCACGGGUGCGUAACGCGUGGGAACCUGCCCUUAGGUUCGGAAUAGCUCCCCGAAAGGGGUGCUAAUACCGGAUAAUGUCUUCGGACCAAAGAUUUAUCGCCUUUGGAUGGGCCCGCGUUGGAUUAGCUAGUUGGUAGGGUAAAAGCCUACCAAGGCGACGAUCCAUAGCUGGUCUGAGAGGAUGAUCAGCUACACUGGGACUGAGACACGGCCCAGACUCCUACGGGAGGCAGCAGUGGGGAAUAUUGGACAAUGGGCGAAAGCCUGAUCCAGCAAUGCCGCGUGAGUGAUGAAGGCCUUAGGGUUGUAAAGCUCUUUUACCCGGGAUGAUAAUGACAGUACCGGGAGAAUAAGCGCCGGCUAACUCCGUG
rnacentral:rRNA from 1 species